ACGAUCUGUAAAUUUUUUCUAAUUUUUUUUUCAUUUGAAAAAUAUCCUGGGCAUCCUUAAAUUUGUUGUCGAUGAAUAUGAAUCCGAGUAUAAAUCAUUUUUGGUUCUAAAACGCGGAAUACCACGUAAACCAACGCUAGGUCGAGUUAUUUCAGUUAACGUGACUUAACGAAAGAAUUUAAUAAUAAUACGUGUUUCGCGAGAGAUAUAUACAUAUUUUUGACAUUUUUUGCCCACGCAGCGCUGAAUUUUUAUCUGUAUUUUUUUGUAAACCGUGACGUCGUAAUUAGACGUUAAUUUGAUUUAUGUUUGCAACGUAGUGGCUUGGAUCAGAGUUGCCACCGUAAUUUGCAGGCUUGUUAUUAGUGAUAUCAGUGGUAUGUCGCAGUUGGCAACCUGGUGGCCAGUUACACGAAACGGAGUCGAGUCGAGCGACGCGACGUUCACUGAAACUGUAAAUAUAACAUUCGUCAAUCGCGUGUUUUGAUAUCUGAAAAUCGCGCGGCACAAAUUCGUGGAACGCCGUUCAGUAUUUUUAAAACGCUUAUUUAUUUAUUUAUUGGAAAUCUAUCGCGCCAGCGCGGUCGGCGAAACAGCGACUUCGUCCUGGAAUGUUGUUUACAUAUUUCGCGAGUAUAUAUAGCACGUAUCUCCGUAAUUUUAACUGCCGUACUUACAUUCAUUUUAUAAUAACAGACUGCGAAAUACGCGAGAUUCGUUCCGAAAUAUCAUAUGUAUUUAUUCGAAGUAUAUGCAGAAGCGAGUGUCUCGCUCCGAUCGCGUCGGUUAGACCGUUAGCCACGGCGUCGCCGUGAAGUUAGCCACGCAAGAUUUCGCGUUCCCUCCGCCAAUCGGGAGCCCUCUAUUAUCCUUGUUUGCGAGGCAGCGUCCGUCGCGCGUGCCGGACGGAUCGUCACCCUUCUCGCAUCAUUCUUUCACGCAGCAACGCGAGGAAAUGCGCUACGCCAAGUGUCGCGCGUGACCGUGGUCUUCCGCUCGUUGGUGCGCGAUCGCGGUCGAUCGUGGUUAACCGUGUCUUCGCGAGAUUCGCGAUGGAGCGUCGCGUGUGCCGGGCGGAUCAUCAACCUCCUCGCAUCAUUCUUUUAUCGCGACGCGAGGAAAUGCGCGUCGAGAGAAGGCGGUUAACGCCGAGAGGAGUACAAAGUGUCGCUCGUGACCGUGGUCUUUCGCUCGUUAGUACGCGAUCGCGAUCAAUCGUGAUUAACCGUGUCUCCAGUCUCCAGUCCGAUAGGAGUAUUUUGUGUAAGUGAGUGUGUGUACGUGUGUGCGUCGGUAAGUGUCAUGGCGCCACGGUCCACGGUGCGGAGUCUCGACCACGGAGGGAGGAGGAGGGGGCCACGGUGGCAUCACGUGACGGCGGAGCGAGCAUGGGAUUAACGCUCGUCUUCCAACUCCGCUGCUGCUGCGCAUCGUAAAGGUUUCACGGCGCGUCAACGACUGAACCUCUCCAGCGAGUUUAGCCCAUUGGGGUGAGAGACGGAGGGUGUGAGAGAGCGGGAGAAAGAGAGGGAGAGAUCGAGAGAUAUCGCUGAGCACAAGACGAAAAAGGAGGGAAAGGAGAGAAGGAAAGGUAGGGAAUGAGAGAAAGAAAGUAAGGUAGAUGAAAAAGAAGGCACACCAGAUAGAGACCAACUUGAGAACGCUGAGGUAGACACGGAGAGACCAGAGGGAGGACGAGAGAAAGGAAAAGGGAAAAAGAGGCAAAAUGAAAAGAAAACAAGGCAAGAAAAUACAUACAAUACUGAUCGCAAACAAGAGAUAUAAAAUAGAAAA
rnacentral:lncRNA from 13 species